GACGAACGCUGGCGGCGUGCUUAACACAUGCAAGUCGAACGGAAAGGCCUCUUUCGGGGGGUACUCGAGUGGCGAACGGGUGAGUAACACGUGAGUAACCUGCCCUUUACUUUGGGAUAACUUCAGGAAACUGGGGCUAAUACCGGAUAGGAGCUCCUGCUCCGUGGUGGGGGUUGGAAAGUUUCGGCGGUUGGGGGUGGACUCGCGGCUUAUCAGCUUGUUGGUGGGGUAGUGGGUUACCAAGGCCUUGUCGGGUAGCCGGCCUGUGAGGGGGACCGGCCACAUUGGGACUGGGAAACGGCCCAGACUCCUACGGGAGGCAGCAGGGGGGAAUAUUGCACAAUGGGUGGAAGCCUGAUUCAGCAACGCCGUGUGCGGGAUGACGGGCUUCGGGUUGUAAACCGCUUUCGCUCAUGACGAAGCUUUGUGUGACGGUAGUGGGUAAAGAAGCACCGGCUAACUACGUG
rnacentral:rRNA from 1 species